rnacentral:rRNA from 1 species
UACGUAGGGGGCUAGCGUUGUCCGGAUUUAUUGGGCGUAAAGAGCGUGUAGGCGGCCAGGUAGGUCUGCUGUGAAAACUCGAGGCUUAACCUCGAGCUGUCGGCGGAAACCAUCUGGCUAGAGUCCGGAAGAGGAGAAUGGAAUUCCCGGUGUAGCGGUGAAAUGCGCAGAUAUCAGGAAGAACACCCGUGGCUAAGGCGGCUCUCUAGUACGGUACUGACGCUGAGACGCGAAAGCGUGGGGAGCGAACAGG